rnacentral:rRNA from 1 species
ACGGCUCAGUAACACGUGGCUAAUCUGCCCUUGGGACCGGAACACCCCCGGGAAACUGGGGCUAAUUCUCGAUAGGUGAAGAACUCUGGAAUGAGUCUUUGCUAAAAAGACGUUUACGUUAUGCUCGUAGGCGUCGCCCAAGGAUGAGGCCGCGACCGAUCAGGUUGUUGGUGAGGUAAUGGCUCACCAAGCCUUUUACCGGUGCGGGCCGUGAGAGCGGGAGCCCGGAGAUGGGCACUGAGACAAGGGCCCAGGCCCUACGGGGCGCAGCAGUCGCGAAAACUUUGCAAUACACGAAAGUGUGACAGGGUUAUCCCGAGUGCCGACCGCUGAGGUUGGCUUUUACCCAGUCUAGAAAGCUGGGGGAAUAAGGAGAGGGCAAGUCUGGUGUCAGCCGCCGCGGUAAUACCAGCUCUCCGAGUGGUGUGGAUGUUUAUUGGGCCUAAAGCAUCCGUAGCUGGCCAGGUUAGUCCCCUGUUAAAUCCACCGAAUUAAUCGUUGGAUUGCGGGGGAUACUGCUUGGCUAGGGGACGAGAGAGGCAGACGGUAUUUUCGGGGUAGGGGUGAAAUCCUAUAAUCCCGGGAAGACCACCAGUGGCGAAGGCUGUCUGCUAGAACGCGCCCGACGGUGAGGGAUGAAAGCUGGGGGAGCGAACCGGAUUAGAUACCCGGGUAGUCCCAGCUGUAAACGAUGCAGGCUAGGUGUUUGGACGGCCACGUGCCGUUCUAGUGCCGCAGGGAAGCUGUUAAGCCUGCCGCCUGGGGAGUACGAUCGCAAGAUUGAAACUUAAAGGAAUUGGCGGGGGAGCAC